rnacentral:rRNA from 1 species
GAUGAACGCUGGCGGCGUGCUUAACACAUGCAAGUCGAACGAACCUUCGGGUUAGUGGCGGACGGGUGAGUAACGCGUGGGAAUCUGCCCUCAGGAGGGGGAUAACGGCUGGAAACGGCCGCUAAUACCCCAUAUGCCGCGAGGUGAAAUGAAUUUCGCCUGAGGAUGAGCCCGCGUCUGAUUAGCUAGUUGGUGGGGUAAAGGCCUACCAAGGCGACGAUCAGUAGCUGGUCUGAGAGGAUGAUCAGCCACACUGGGACUGAGACACGGCCCAGACUCCUACGGGAGGCAGCAGUGGGGAAUUUUCCGCAAUGGGCGAAAGCCUGACGGAGCAACGCCGCGUGAGGGAUGAAGGCCUCUGGGCUGUAAACCUCUUUUCUCAAGGAAGAAGACCUGACGGUACUUGAGGAAUAAGCCACGGCUAAUUCCGUGCCAGCAGCCGCGGUAAGAC